rnacentral:rRNA from 1 species
UACGGGGGGGGCAAGCGUUGUUCGGAAUUACUGGGCGUAAAGGGCUCGUAGGCGGCCAACUAAGUCGGAUGUGAAAUCCCCAGGCUUAACUUGGGAACUGCAUCCGAUACUGGAUGGCUUGAAUCCGGGAGAGGGAUGCGGAAUUCCAGGUGUAGCGGUGAAAUGCGUAGAUAUCUGGAGGAACACCGGUGGCGAAGGCGGCAGCCUGGACCGGCAUUGACGCUGAGGUGCGAAAGCGUGGGGAGCAAACAGG